GGAGGUAUAGCUCAGUGAUAGAGUGCUCGCUUAGCAUGAACAAGGUCCUGGCUUCAAUCCCCAGUACCUCCA
rnacentral:tRNA from 1 species